rnacentral:rRNA from 1 species
UACGUAGGGUGCGAGCGUUGCCCGGAUUUAUUGGGCGUAAAGAGCGUGUAGGCGGCCUUACAGGUCAGCUGUGAAAACUCGAGGCUCAACCUCGAGACGUCGGUUGAAACCGUAUGGCUAGAGUCCGGAAGAGGAGAGUGGAAUUCCCGGUGUAGCGGUGAAAUGCGCAGAUAUCGGGAAGAACACCCGUGGCGAAGGCGGCUCUCUGGGACGGUACUGACGCUGAGACGCGAAAGCGUGGGGAGCGAACAGG